AGGAUCCAAAGGGAUCGCAUUGAUCCUAAUUAAGGUGAAUUCUCCCCGUUCCAAAGAAAUCGCAAAAAAUUUGCUUGGUUUUGGAUCAUGCUAUCUCUUUGGAUUCA
rnacentral:pre_miRNA from 1 species